GUGAGGAAUAUUGGUCAAUGGGCGGGAGCCUGAACCAGCCAAGUCGCGUGAAGGAAGAAGGAUCUAUGGUUCGUAAACUUCUUUUGCAGGGGAAUAAAGUGCAGGACGUGUCCUGUUUUGUAUGUACCCUGAGAAUAAGGAUCGGCUAACUCCGUGCCAGCAGCCGCGGUAAUACGGAGGAUCCGAGCGUUAUCCGGAUUUAUUGGGUUUAAAGGGUGCGUAGGUGGUUUGAUAAGUCAGCGGUGAAAGUUUGCAGCUUAACUGUAAAAAUGCCGUUGAAACUGUCGGACUUGAGUGUAAAUGAGGUAGGCGGAAUGUGUGGUGUAGCGGUGAAAUGCAUAGAUAUCACGCAGAACUCCGAUUGCGAAGGCAGCUUACUAAGCUACAACUGACACUGAAGCACGAAAGCGUGGGGAUCAAACAGGAUUAGAAACCCCGGUAGUCC
rnacentral:rRNA from 1 species